GGCCGAUUCUUAGCAGUCAAAGGUAAAACGUUUUUCAAUGCCAUGGCAGUCAAAGGGUCAAUACUCUAUGAUAAAACCACAAAAACGUAAAACGCUUCAAAUUCUACAAACUGGCAUGUAGACUCCUGCUGUCCUUUUGUAGCUAAGUACAAAAAAUGUACAAGGAGAAGACAUCAUAUCUAAGUUUUAUUUAUCCGGUUGGG
rnacentral:lncRNA from 1 species